rnacentral:rRNA from 1 species
UGGGGAAUAUUGCACAAUGGGCGCAAGCCUGAUGCAGCCAUGCCGCGUGUGUGAAGAAGGCCUUCGGGUUGUAAAGCACUUUCAGCGAGGAGGAAGGUGGUGAGCUUAAUACGCUCAUCAAUUGACGUUACUCGCAGAAGAAGCACCGGCUAACUCCGUGCCAGCAGCCGCGGUAAUACGGAGGGUGCAAGCGUUAAUCGGAAUUACUGGGCGUAAAGCGCACGCAGGCGGUUUGUUAAGUCAGAUGUGAAAUCCCCGGGCUCAACCUGGGAACUGCAUUUGAAACUGGCAAGCUAGAGUCUCGUAGAGGGGGGUAGAAUUCCAGGUGUAGCGGUGAAAUGCGUAGAGAUCUGGAGGAAUACCGGUGGCGAAGGCGGCCCCCUGGACGAAGACUGACGCUCAGGUGCGAAAGCGUGGGGAGCAAAACAGGAUUAGAUACCCUGGUAGUCCACGCUGUAAACGAUGUCGAUUUUGGAGGUUGUGCCCUUGAGGCGUGGCUUCCGGAGCUAACGCGUUAAAUCGACCGCCUGGGGAGUACGGCCGCAGGGUU